UACGAGGGGGGCAAGCGUUGUUCGGAAUUAUUGGGCGUAAAGGGUGCGUAGGCGGUUUGGUAAGUCUGAUGUGAAAUCUAUGGGCUCAACUCAUAGUCUGCAUCGGAAACUGCCGGGCUUGAGUAUGGGAGAGGUGAGUGGAAUUCCUGGUGUAGCGGUGAAAUGCGUAGAUAUCAGGAGGAACACCGGUGGUGUAGACGGCUCUCUGGACCGUAACUGACGCUGAGACACGAAAGCGUGGGUAGCAAACAGG
rnacentral:rRNA from 1 species